rnacentral:rRNA from 1 species
CGAGGAAUUCCUAGUAAGCGCAGGUCAUCAGCCUGCGUUGAUUAAGUCCCUGCCCUUUGUACACACCGCCCGUCGCUCCUACCGAUUUCGAGUGGUCCGGUGAACCCUUUGGACUGGAGGCGUCUUGAACGCCACUAGAAAGUCGAGUAAACCACAUCACUUAGAGGAAGGAAAAGUCGUAACAAGGUUUCC